rnacentral:rRNA from 1 species
AGAGUUUGAUCAUGGCUCAGAGCGAACGCUGGCGGCAGGCCUAAUACAUGCAAGUCGAGCGGGUGUAGCAAUACACCAGCGGCAGACGGGAGAGUAACACGUGGGAACGUGCCCUUCAGUUCGGAACAACCCAGGGAAACUUGGGCUAAUACCGGAUACGUCCGAAAGGAGAAAGAUUUAUCGCUGAAGGAUCGGCCCGCGUCUGAUUAGCUUGUUGGUGAGGUAACGGCUCACCAAGGCGACGAUCAGUAGCUGGUCUGAGAGGAUGAUCAGCCUCACUGGGACUGAGACACGGCCCAGACUCCUACGGGAGGCAGCAGCAGGGAAUAUUGGACAAUGGGCGCAAGCCUGAUCCAGCCAUGCCGCGUGGGUGAUGAAGGCCCUAGGGUUGUAAAGCCCUUUCGGCGGGGAAGAUAAUGACGGUACCCGCAGAAGAAGCCCCGGCUAACUUCGUGCCAGCAGCCGCGGUA